rnacentral:sRNA from 1 species
AGAGACUUGAGCAUGUUUAUAUUCUAUAGGGAAAGAGCCAGGGGAGGGGGAGAGGUUGAAGAAUACAGAAGAGGAGAGAUCCCUGAAGGGGCACCAGGCCAUGAUCUGUCUUCCUAAGAGCCUGCUUCUGCCUGGCCCUGUCUUGUUACCCAGAAUGACCGUCUUUCCCUGGCAGGGAAAUAGACAGGAAUGAGGAGUCUGGGGGAGUGAGGACAAGCAGGCCAGUUCCCAAGUAAGAGAAAUCCAGAGGGAAGGCACCUGAAGGCCAGUAGAAUUGCCUUCUGAUUGGCUGUUCCUCCAGACAGGCAGCCACAGGACUGCUUUGGGAUUUCUAGUCAUGGUAAGGGAACAUGAUAAUCCACUCAAGAUGGUAACUGAAGUCUCGACACUUCCCCCUUCUCUUACUCCUGAUGACCUCUCACCCAAACGGAUAGAGGAAAAGCUGAACCAUAACAUUCCUUUGCAGUUCUCCUCUGGUUUGAAAGUAAAAUCAGACCACUCCUUAUUUUUAACAUUCUCAGCAAGUCUGUAGACAAACGUUUCUGACAUCUCCAGGAGAAUGCAUCUCUCAGCACAUCCUGGGAUCUCCUCCAUAUCGAAGCAGAGUCCCCAUAAUUAGUGGACUCCCAUGGUUUCAAAGGCAUCUUCUGCAAAUUGAAGAUGAGCUAGGACAGGUGAACACUUUUACUUCAAAAUGACUUCCGGCAGCCUGAGAUGUAAGACCAGUCAGAACCCAGACACAGCCCUUCCUCAUUUUAGUCUCUCCAGAAUUUUUCCCUGAAACCCUUGGCAACCAGCAUUCCAUUCCAGAGCCUCUGCCUCUACACAGAAACUGCAGCCUCCUGGGUAGCCUGUGUGCUGUUCACACUUGACAGCAGCUUCUCUGAGAAAACUGCCACUUUGAUUCACCGGAAGGCUCCCUGGAAACCUGAAAAGGGUCGAAGGAGGCAUUGUACUGUGGCCGUGGGCUCCUGUGUACUGCCACACUACCCUUUGGGUUUAUUGGCGUUUCUGUCUUCCAAAGCCCAGGACACAGUUUAUCCCUCCUCUGCAGCUGGUGUGCAUAAGCAGCCAUACCCUUUUGGUUUUAAUGAGGUUACUGUUGCAACUCCCUGGAGGACAUAGUGUUAGAGUGCUACUGACAUAUAUUAUGACAGGGUCAGAAUCUCUUGGCAUGAUCUUGAGGAUUUCCUCAUGCUUUGCCUGCCUUGAUACCUCUCAUUAGCUCCUUCUCUAAGUCUCCUUGAGAUAGUUCUGGAAGCCUUUGUGCUAUGACCUGUGUUCCUAAGGGCAUGCAUCUGCCUGGCCCUGUCGUGUUACCCAGAAUGAUCAUCAUUUCUCUGCAGUAGUCAGGGACGAGUCUGGAGGAGUGAGGACAAGUAGGCCAGUUCCCAGGUGAGAAGUCUGUGGAGGGCAGAGGGCAGUGUGUCCCAUUUCUAAUCCCUGCUCCCCCUCACCCAGAUUAUGCUGCUGAUGAGAGCUGUGCGCCCCGAGGGUACCUGGCAGCCACAAUGCAGUUUGUCCCUGGCCAUUUCUCCUGUGACGUUGUGUGGGGAACUGUGAUCCGAGUCCAUUCACGCCUCAAAAUGGGGCCCAGCAUGGGGGUCUCUCGGGGUAUGUGAUUGGCAUGAGAGGGCAGGUGAGCAUUGGAAGGAUCUGGAAAAGGCAGCUUCCUGAGCCCAUGUUAUUCCCCCAGCCAUCCAGGCCCUGCGCUCUGUGCUCAAUGCCUUCUCUGUGGUGAACCGGAAAAACAUGUUUGUUUACCAGGAGCGAGCAACGAAGGCUGUGUACUAUCUUCGGUACGUGGCCCUUGGAAGGUGGGUAGGGCAUGAAUUAAGAAUGGCAUGGGAGGAGGCAUGUCCAAAGACAUGCUGCUCUUUCCCAGGCUCCUAGAGACAUCCUGCAGUGACCGGCCAUGGAAAGGGGAUGCGCUGCCCCCUUCCCUCGCUCUGUCCCGAAGCCAAGAGCCCAUCUACUCUGAGGAAGCCUCGGCAUGUAUCACUCCCACUCUCUGAUGCCCCUGUGUGUGCCCCUUGCACUUUGCUCUCUGGAGCUGGGGCUCUGACCACAGUUUUCCCUGUAGGGUCCUCGUUCUCCCUUAGACAUGGCCUCUAGCCGCAGUUCAGAUGCUGCUCGUCCUGUGGGCCAAGUGGACAGACAUAUCCAGCUGCUGGUCCAUGGUGUUGGGCAGGCAGGUAAGGUCU